rnacentral:rRNA from 1 species
UACGUAGGGCGCAAGCGUUGUCCGGAAUUAUUGGGCGUAAAGAGCUCGUAGGCGGCCUGUCGCGUCUGCUGUGAAAUCCCGGGGCUCAACCCCGGGCCUGCAGUGGAUACGGGCUGGCUGGAGGCAGGCAGGGGAGAACGGAAUUCCUGGUGUAGCGGUGAAAUGCGCAGAUAUCAGGAGGAACACCGGUGGCGAAGGCGGUUCUCUGGGCCUGUUCUGACGCUGAGGAGCGAAAGCGUGGGGAGCAAACAGG